GAUGAACGCUGGCGGCGUGCCUAAUACAUGCAAGUCGAGCGAACAGAUGAGGAGCUUGCUCCUCUGACGUUAGCGGCGGACGGGUGAGUAACACGUGGAUAACCUACCUAUAAGACUGGGAUAACUUCGGGAAACCGGAGCUAAUACCGGAUAAUAUAUUAAACCGCAUGGUUCAAUAGUGAAAGACGGUUUUGCUGUCACUUAUAGAUGGAUCCGCGCCGCAUUAGCUAGUUGGUAAGGUAACGGCUUACCAAGGCAACGAUGCGUAGCCGACCUGAGAGGGUGAUCGGCCACACUGGAACUGAGACACGGUCCAGACUCCUACGGGAGGCAGCAGUAGGGAAUCUUCCGCAAUGGGCGAAAGCCUGACGGAGCAACGCCGCGUGAGUGAUGAAGGUCUUCGGGUCGUAAAACUCUGUUAUUAGGGAAGAACAAAUGUGGAAGUAACUAUGCACAUCAUGACGGUACCUAAUCAGAAAGCCACGGCUAACUACGUG
rnacentral:rRNA from 1 species